rnacentral:rRNA from 1 species
CCUACGGGAGGCAGCAGUGAGGAAUAUUGGUCAAUGGACGGAAGUCUGAACCAGCCAUGCCGCGUGCAGGAAGACGGCUCUAUGAGUUGUAAACUGCUUUUGUACAAGGGUACAACUGAAUACGUGUAUUCAGCUGAAAGUAUUGUACGAAUAAGGAUCGGCUAACUUCGUGCCAGCAGCGGCGGUAAUACGGAGGAUCCAAGCGUUAUCCGGAUUUAGUGGGUUUAAAGGGUGCGUGGGCGGAUUGAGAAGUUAGAGGUGAAAUGUCCGAGCUUAACUCGGGAACUGCCUCUAAUACUGUUGAUCUAGAGAGUAGAUGCGGUAGGCGGAAUGUAUGGUGUAGCGGUGAAAUGCUUAGAGCUCAUACAGAACACCGAUUGCGAAGGCAGCUUACCAAUCUAUAUCUGACGUUGAGACACGAAAGCGUGGGGAGCAAACAGGAUUAGAUACCCCUGUAGUC